AGAGAGAGACAUGCGUGCAUAUCAAUAAGCGGAGGAAAAGAAACUAACAAGGAUUCCCCUAGUAACGGCGAGUGAAGCGGGGAAGAGCUCAAAUUUGAAAUCUUAAAGGGUUUCCCUUUACGAAUUGUAGUUUAAAGAAGUGUUUUCUGUUGAGGUUUUGGUAAAAGUUCUUUGGAAUAGGACAUCAUAGAGGGUGAGAAUCCCGUAUUUGACCUUUACUUUCAACUUUGUGAUACACUUUCAAAGAGUCGGAUUGUUUGGGAAUGCAGUCCAAAAUGGGUGGUAAAUUUCAUCUAAAGCUAAAUAUUGGCGAGAGACCGAUAGCGAACAAGUACCGUGAGGGAAAGAUGAAAAGAACUUUGAAAAGAGAGUUAAACAGUACGUGAAAUUGUCAAAAGGGAAGCGUUUGACACCAGUGUUGUUUUUCUGAAAAUCAAUUAAAGAACUGUUUAUGCUAAGCUGUUUAGACUUUAUCAGCUAUCUGUUUAGUUUUGAGCUUUUCUUUAAUGCACUUUUCAGUUAACAAGUCAACAUCAAUUUCUUUUGCUGUAAAAAAGCUUGAGGAAGGUGGCUUGAGAUUCGUCUUAAGUGUUUAUAGCCUCUUGCCUAUGCAGUCGGAGAGAUUGAGGUCUGCAGCGUAGAUCCUUCGGGGCUAAAUGCAUUUGUGCUAAGUUAUAAGCAUUUUAUAGACAACUUGUUGACUAUGAUUUGUCUUGUAGCUUACUCGCUUAUGUUAUUUUACCUACGCUUAGGAUGUUGACGCAUGAGAUAUACGC
rnacentral:rRNA from 1 species